CUUGUAGGUCUUGGUAGGAUUUUGUUGCCUCUUGGAUUGUAAUAAAUUAGGAUCCAGUCCUAUAGUUUAAUUUUUAAUUGCCCAGUUUUCUUCAAGUUCUUGUGUAUUUUGUUAUAGAGAUGUCUGUUUCAUGUAAGAACAGAAAAACAAAUUCUUGGUUCUCCAAGCAAUUUUUCCUCACUUUACAAAAAUGUUUCAUUUAACAGGAAAAAUAAAGUUCUUGUUGGAAGAACUCUGGACGUGCAUUGACAGUGCAAAAGAGAAAGGAGAGAAGCAGGAAAAUGAUCCCAUCUUGGUUUCUUCUCAGGACAAGGCACGGCCUGGGAAAAGAACACUGUGUGUUACAGAAGGUAGGUUCUAGUAAAUGUGAAUAUAUUAAUAUACAAGUGUGUUGAUUGUAGCCAUACUGGAACAUCAUCAGAUUGGGUACUACUUGUAUAACUCUUUUUGGUUAGACUAAAAUACUUUACUUUGAGAUUGCUCGAUCAAGUACAUGUGUGAUUAGAAUAUUUGAAAACCAUUGCCAAUUUUGAUUUGAGCAGCCAAGUGGGCUAAAAUGCUCCUGUACACAGAAACUGACUUUUAAUCUGCUGCUACAGUUCAGAAAUCAAAUUCUUAGAAUUAGUCAAAGCAGCUGAUAAUAGAUUUAGUCAAAACACACCUCUCAUAUUCCUACCUUAAUAUUAUAUUAUUAUAAGCUAUUAAGAAUAUAGUGCACUGUGUAAUGUAUAAUGCAAAAAUUCAUAUGAAAGCACUUAGGAAGAGUCAGUGUAUCAAAAUGUGCUUAAAGGUUGUUGAGAGACAGACCUCUAGGGGACCAUUUUCACCUAUGGAAUUGAGCUAGUACUUUCAUAUCUGGUACUACCAGUUGUGCUGCUUGACAAGUAUCACUGUAAGAUCUAGCAGUGGAGAAACAGCUGCAGCAAUAAUGAAGCACAGCAUUAUUUCUUACUUUUCUAGAUGGAGAAAAAUCUGUUCAAAACCAUUUUGUGCAUGUGUUGUGUAGUGGGUACAUGGAUGUACAGGGAACAGGCUUUAUCUUUUAUCUGCAUACAUAAAAAAUGGGUUAGUGUGUAAUAAUAAAGUACGUGGUUUGAAAAGGAACA
rnacentral:lncRNA from 1 species